AAGAUCUAGAUUCGAUCUAUUUCACAGAAAAAAAACCAAGUUUAAUAACAUUUUUUACAAGCUCAAUCCAUGUGAAUUUUCAAGAAUAAAAUUACAAUGGAGUAAGUGGUAAGAAAACUGUCACACAUGGAUAUAAACGAUCAGCUAAAUUCAUGGUCAAAGCUGGAGUACGACGGUUUCAGUUCUAAGUUAUUCUCUCACAUUUCACAUUAAAAAGAAACAUAUAUAAUAAUUUCUGCUUAAUUAUUUAAUAUAAAUUGCUGUAAACAAUGUCGACAUAGUCUUCAUUCUUUUAAAGCAAGCUAGCUCUUCAGUCCAUGCAUAAUUGCAUUCUGCACAACGGAAAUCCAUAAGAUAAUUUAAGAAAAUUGUUGAGUUAGUGGUAAAAAUGUAAAUGAAACUAUCACACAAAUAGCUCUUGAAUCAACGCAUAUCAUCAGCUAAAUUCAUGGCGAGAAAAUUGAGAAGAAAAUGCUUUAAGAACAAGUGAUAAGAAAUUAAAUGUACAAUUAAUAUAUAUUAAAAUUAAAAAUUUAGGUGUUUGGAUUCCAUCUAGAUAAAAAUAAAAAAAAAUAACAAUUAAAUUUAGCCAUAGAACUAUAAAAAAAAAUUCAAUAAAAUAAUUUAUUAAUUAUUUUUAAUAAUUUAAAAUAUUAAUUAUUAAAUUGCUUUUUUUUUUUUUUGCGUUAGCUACUUUGAUGCCAAUAAUUAAGAAUUCUCCUUAAUUGCAUUAUUUACCGGUUAAAUCUAUAUGACAUUUGAAAAAUAAAAUUACUAUGGAGUAAGUGGUAAACGAACUAUCACAUAAAGACAUAUACGAUCGGCGAAAACCAUAAAAAGAAAAUUAUCACAUGUGCAUGUAUGUAUAUGAUCAGCUAAGAUAAGAAAAUUAAAUAAUAAAUGUAUAAUCUUUUACAAAUUGAGAUUUAAGCAUAUCAAACUAUUAAUUAAAAAUUUCUCUUUCAUUUCAAGCUAUUCAAGUUCACACGCAUUAAAAUGAAAAUUUAAAAUAUUAUCACUUUCAUUCUUUAUUUUUCAGUUAGCUCUUGAGUCGAUGCAUAAUAGCAACCUUCACAAGCUAAAUCCAUGUGAGAAUACCAAAGAAAAAUUGUUGAAUUAGUGGUAAGAAACAUAAAUGAAACUGUUUCUAUGAUCGGCUAAAUUCAUGGUGGGUAAGUUGCAAGAAAUUAAACAUGUAAAGGAUGUAUAUAAAAAAAAAGGAAAUUUUGGAAGAUCUGGAUUCGAUCUAUUUCGAAAAAAAAAAGAAAAAGAAAAACUUCAAUUGCAUUCUUCACAAGCAAAAUCCAUGUGACAUUUUAAAAUAAAACUAUAUGGAGUAAGUGGUAAGAAAACUCUCUCAUAUAGAUAUAUAAGAUCAGCUAAAUUGAUGGUGAGAAAAUUGAAUAGAAUAUUUCUGAGUAGGGGAUGAAAUUCCAUAGAAAAACGAGUUUAGUUAGCUGCACAAGAUGAAGAAGUAAAGAACACUCCAGAUAUGGUCUAAGCUAUAUGGUAAUAGAAAUUGAAAGCAAUCCCUUUUUAUGCAAGAAAUAUUAAUUGCUUUCAAAGACUUUGGCUUAAAAAAAUAAAUAAAAAAAAUAUAAACUCUCAAAAGACAAUCACUCAUCUGCGAUACAUGGACAACUAAUUUAGUAUAUUUCUGACAAUAAUGAGCUUAUCAACAACGUUCUAGACACGAUUUCAUUAAUGGACUAUCUUUUCACCAGAGAUUCUGAUCUUGCUAAUUAUCAUUUUUUUAACAGAUAUAUUAUUAAUUAAUAUUUGAAGAUAAGAUCUACGUUGGACGUCUCUAAAUCAGAAAGUUAAUCAAGUUUUUUUUCCUUAUUUUUACAAGUUAAAUUUAUGAUCAAAGUGCAUGAGAAAAAACAAACAUAGUGUAUUGUUGAUCUUUUUUUUUUAUCAGGAGGGAAGGGAGGGGGUUGGAGUUGAACCCAGGAUCUGGGUUUUAGUCUAUAAUACAAUGAAUAUAACUUAACAAUUUAUAAUAAUGAAAUGAAUGUGGAACUCAUUAUCUAAUAAUUUGAAUAAAAUUGUCCGAGUAUCUAAUUUGAUAGUAUAUAAAAUUUUGACAUACGAGAAAAAAAUUACUUAGAUAUAUUUUAAAAUUAUAUUGGGUCAAGUCCAAAUAAAAAUUUUCAUGCUGCAUCCAUCUAACUUCGAUAUACAAAACCCUAACUCUGGAAGAAUGUUAAGUAAUAAAAUUUAAAAACAAACCUACACAAAGAAAAAGCAGGGUCCAGUCCAAAUUAAAACUUACGAGAAUACAAGCCAAAAACAACCAACGAGAAACAAAAAAAAAAUGAAUAAUACAUUUGCAAGAUGUAGAGAAUUAUCAGUAAGGAACAAAGAUAAUGGUAUGCUCUGUAUCCUAACAUGAAUUACACUGCAAAAAACCUAUUAUCUAUUGGAUGGAUUAACAAGUCAUAUUUAAAAAAUUUUCGAUGACUAGCCACCAAAUAUUUAACAAAAAAAAAAAAAAAAAGAAUUAUACCGCAAAAGCACCAUUGAAGGAGGAAAGAAACAACAGAACAGGAGGAAAGAAACAAUCAAACAAGGAUGCAAAUGGAUAGAAUAUCUAUUAAACACUCACAUAAAAUAAUUGGUUAACAUAUUCCAAAUGGAUUGGAUUCUAUAGCAUUUCCUAAAUCAAUACUUACAAGUUUUGAAGCGCAAGUGAUUAAUAGAGUGCAAAAAUAAGCCACCAAUUUCAAUAAACCAUAUAUGUAUAUAUGUUUCUUUUUAUUUUCUGGGUGAUCUUUUUGUGAUCUCACUGAUUAUAUGAUGCAACUCAAAAAGUGGGACAUCACUGGAAGUUCACUAAGUUGUCUUCUUUAGUUUCACUAGAAUUAGGAUCCCAAAUUGUAAACUAAAAAAUCAUUAGUUACCCAGUUGAAUAAUUAAAUAACCGCUCUUGAAUUAGCCAAAAAAAAAAUGAAAAAGAAGAAGACUGAAAGCUAAAACUACAAUUAGAAUAAGACGAGAAACUUGUAAAUUACCAAGUCCAGAGCUGAAAACCUCUGAUCUUCAGAGUUCCCAACUCCAGGGAAAUUUUCUGCGACUGACAAUUUCCCACAUUAGAUUGCGGCGGUUCUGAUGGUGGUGGGAAACUCGGGACUGUCCGAGGUAGGGACGACUAAUAACGCCGGCAUGAAGAUAGCUACUGGUGCCAGGCCGAGAGAGGAACAGAAGGAAAUGGGAU
rnacentral:lncRNA from 1 species